rnacentral:lncRNA from 1 species
AGGUAUUUUCUGAAAAGGUGGAUUGCUGCUUCAAAGGACCUGGACCCAGAGGCCCUGUCCAUGAAUGUUUCUUGCUUGGUUCCGAGGCCACCAAACAUACUGGCUGAGCCUUCUGUAUUCACCCUGGCCUAUCAAUGCCAUCUAUGAGAGCAGCCACACUGAGAGAGCAGCAGCAUGGAGCCUACUCAAGGGUUGGACCGACUGUGACAUUUGGGGAAGCCCCACAGAACAGGAUGGGAUCUUUUAUGAAGAAAUGGAUUGGGAAGAAAAACAUAAGAUAAGGUUGGAACCUCUUCUGGUGCAAGAAGGUCCUAAAUAUUACUGAGGAUCUCUCAUCUUCUAGGUGAAGCUCACAAAAUUGCCCUGGAGGUUGCUGCCUUCCUGGAAGCCAGAGUGAAAAAAAAAAAGAGGACAUGCAGUUGCACAUGGGAGGAUUUUGUGGGCCAUGGUUAUCAGGGCACAAUCCCUUAGCUCACCUUUCUCUGGUGAGAAAACACUUCCAGUGCCACACCUCAGUCUCCUCCCUCUGGUGAAAAAAACACUUCCAGUGCCACACCUCAGCCUCCUUCCUCUGGUGAAAAAACAGUUCCAGUGCCAUACCUCAGCCUUUCCUCUGGUAAAAAACACUUCCAGUGCCACACCUCAGCCUCCCUCCUCUGGUGAAAAAACACUUCCAGUGCUACACCUCAGCCUCCUUCCUCUGGUGAAAAAAUACUUCCAGAGCCACACCUUACCCUCCUUCCUCUGGUGAGAAACUACUUCCAGUGCCACACCUCAGCCUCCUUCCUCUGGUGACAAAACACUUCCAGUGCCACAACUCAGCCUCCUUCGACUGGUGAGAAAACACUUCCAGUGCCACACCUCAGCCUCCUUCCUCUGCUGAGAAAACACUUCCAGUGCCACAGCUCAGCCUCCUUCCUCUGGUCACAAAACACUUCCAGUACUACACAUCACUGCUGGAGAACUGGAGAGUGGAGUCUUCCAGCCCAAGAAGAAAGAAAUAUAGGAUUUUGUCAAGUACCAGAAGUUUCUGCCACACUCAGUGGGCAUUCUUUGAGUUAGUUUUUUUAGUAUAUUUCACUAAAAACUGUGAGAGAGGAACCCUUAAUAUAGGUCCUGCAAAAAACAAGUAUUCAAUAAAUCCUGUUGAAUCAAUAAAUGAAUCACCUCUUCCAAAAUAAGCUUAAUUGUUUAAGUUACUAGCAAAAUGCCUAAAUGAAAAUUAACCAUUCUAUAGAGACAUUAUUGAGUUAGUUCAUUCAGCCAUUCAAUAAAUGUAUUCAGUGUAUGUUUAUAGAAUAACUAUAAUUUACCAACUGUUUUAGGCAUGGGGGGUACAGCAGUGAAUAAAAUCAUCCAACUACCUAUUCUAACAGAGAUUAAAUUCUAGUGGUACAAGCAGCAGACGAA